rnacentral:rRNA from 1 species
CCCCAGACUCCUACGGGAGGCAGCAGUGGGGGAUAUUGCACAAUGGGGGGAACCCUGAUGCAGCGACGCCGCGUGAAGGAAGAAGUAUCUCGGUAUGUAAACUUCUAUCAGCAGGGAAGAAAAUGACGGUACCUGACUAAGAAGCCCCGGCUAACUACGUGCCAGCAGCCGCGGUAAUACGUAGGGGGCAAGCGUUAUCCGGAUUUACUGGGUGUAAAGGGAGCGUAGACGGAAAGGCAAGUCAGAAGUGAAAGCCCAAGGCUCAACCAUGGGACUGCUUUUGAAACUGUCAAACUAGAGUACGGGAGAGGUAAGAGGAAUUCCUAGUGUAGCGGUGAAAUGCGUAGAUAUUAGGAGGAACACCAGUGGCGAAGGCGGCCUGCUGGACGACAACUGACGGUGAGGCGCGAAAGCGUGGGGAGCAAACAGGAUUAGAUACCCUGGUACU